GUCGAGCAGAGAAGAUCCUUCGUGCAGACAGCAGUGCUGGCCAUCCACGACCCCCUGCUGCGUGCCAGCCAGGCUGGGCUGGUGUUCGUCUACUCCCUCCUAGGGGAAGCCCAGCAACUGAUGGGGGACACGCACGAGGAUGUCACAGCCAAGGUCAUGGGCCAGCUUCACAUCAUCAGGCACUUGCACCAGAUGCCCGAGGUGCUGCAAGGGCUGUGGCUCAUCUGAUGCUCUUCAAGGUUCCCCUCCCUGUUCAGCAAGUCCCGCUCCCUGCUGCAGCUCCACUUCCCGCAGCAGGACAAACGGACCUUCAGCUCCUAGAGAACAGACUCUGACCUCCUUCUGAUCAGCAAUGGGGUUUCACCAUCCCCUCAGCAAACCUGUCAGCUGGGCUGGACCGGAUUUGAAGGAGGAGGGUAUCUAACAGGGUGGCCUGGCCUAUGGCUGCCUAGCCUGGGGCUAGGCCAAAUUGAUGACCAAGUGAGCCCCACUUGAGAGGAAACAAGGGAAAACAGCAGCAAAAAUCCAGAAGCAGAGCGAGCUGUUCAGUAGACGGCCUUGGGCCAAACCCUGGAGUCCAGGGUAGGACUGGGUUCUCUCACCGUCCCUAAGGAAGGGGACAUAGAAGACCAUAGAAACCCAAGAAGGGCAGGCCGAACCGAAAUCAGGCUGAGGAAGAACUCCCCACGAGGGUGGAAGGCCUUGUUUCUGUUCAAGACAUUUUGGGACUUUGUUUGCAAGGAGCACGACCCAGGAAGGAGUGGAGUAAAGGACAGUCACCUGGUUGGAGGGCCGAGUUCCCAACCAACAGACUGCAAGAGUGAGUCUCAGCGGGGUUGCUAGCCCAGCGAGAAAGCGGUGACACGAGGCCUGG